ensembl:lncRNA
ACCAGGUUCUGGUUGAACCGCCUGAGGGACAGACAGGCAGACAGAGAGUCUUACAGACACAUAGACAGAGCUUAUUAUGCUAAUGAGACAGCGGGCUUAGAGGACCCACCUCUCAGUGACCGUCGGCAAGAUGAAGAACAUCCAGAAGUGAAUCCCAAAAACCAAAAUCACCUGGAAGACUAGUUUCCCCAAAACGGUCUUCCUCAAAUACAGAGCCCGGUCUAUCACCAUGGUGCCUGUAGACGAGACAGACCGAUGGAUGGUGAGACAGGUAGACAGGUAGACAGGCAGACAGGCAGACAGGCAAACAGGCAGACGUACCAAAUUGGAUCAGAACCAUCACCAAGAACGCUUCAGGAACUUGGUCUUCUGAGAGGGAGGAAGUGAUGUCAGCAGCCGCAGAGUGUUUCUGUAUAAUACAGAAUAAAAGCAAUUACAAUAAAUAAAUAUAACACAAGAGAAGUAAAUAUAAUAGAAUGAACCAAAUAAACAGAAGUUUCCCAGUGAAUCGCAAGUGCCAGAAAUCAGUAAAUCCUCUGAAUUUACUCCGAAGGCCCAAAAGCCGAAGACGAUGAUGAUGAAGUCGACGGUGUCGGCGAGGAACAUGAGGACGUAAACAUCGGUGACGGCGCUGUAUUCUGGUUGGAUGAGAGCUCUGAAGAAGUGAAGGACGGGACGGUAAAGAGACAAACACCUGAAGCAGAGAGAGUUAUUAGCACCUCAUGUUGAUGUCACAUCUUCAUCUUUAGAGCAUCGAGUUAAAUGAGGGGAUUCAUUAAACAUGCCAGAUAAUAAACAUUAUUCUUGUACCAGAUUUAAAUGUUUUCAUCUGAGCACAAUAACACUAAUACGACGAGGGUAACAUAUCCAAAUGUCGACAUACAGUAAGUGCAUAAGAAGUGUUGGGUUCUUAUAGAUUUACGUUGUUCCCAAAAGUGACAAAUGUUUUUAUAGUUAUAAGUAUUUCUCCUUUCUUGUUAUGUUUUGUGGUCCUAAUAGAAUCCACUGACAAUGAGUAAUGAACUGGGUUCACAUUAAUGUCCCUUUGUUUCACCGGACCCUGGUUAGUUGCCAGGUUGCUCUACCUGCUGACGGAGACCUUCUUGGCUCUGAUGGAAAGCUCUCGGAGUUUCUCCAGCAGCAGAUCCAACCUGCCGGGCCGCUGAGCUCUGGAAGUCUCGCUCCCUGAGAGCAAGAGGAUGACGGAGGAAAGGUCAACGGUGCUUCUACGUGAACGAGUGCAUUCGUUUACCGCAGCGGUUAAUUCAUCUUUGAGUCGUGAAGUGCGGUGGACAUAUUUAAUCAAGCAGAGACACAAUCCAAAGGGAUGGUGAACAUGUCCGUUUAAAAAACUCAGGCUUUAGGCUGCGAAGGAAACUUUUAUCAUCCUCAACUGAAAAGGUCAGGAUGAGAGCUGACGAGUCAAAGAUCCAACAGAACCACGUUGUCUGCAUAAAGACGCUCCCGAGGUCUCCUCACCUCCAUCAGGUGGAGGUGGAAGCCUCACCUUGUUGCUUUCAGCUGUCUCUGAUUCUACCUGCAGGAGAGCGCUGCUGGGUGGAACUGGAGGUCGUCCGUUUCCGCCCUCGGCGCUGCGUGGUGCGCUCGGUCGGAUCGAUGUAGGCAAAGCCGUGGAAGGAGUCGGCUCGGUUGCCGUGAGGAUGGAUGGCGUCGGCCUCCAUGGUGAUAGUCUGGUCCCAAAGUCCGUGGCACUGAUAAACAAGAUUAUCAUUUAUAUUUAAGAUCUUCUUACCUUGAGUGUGGCUCUAUGAUCUAGAUCUUCUUACCUUGAGUGUGGCUCUAUGAUCUAGAUCUUCUUACCUUGAGUGUGGCUCUAUGAUCUAGAUCUUCUUACCUUGAAUGUGGCUCUAUGAUCUAGAUCUUCUUACCUUGAGUAUGGCUCUGUGGUGGAACAAAGCAAGAAGCUGUAGGAGGUCAUACAGGACGUAGCCCUCUUUCUUCUCCACCCCAAGGAUGUUUGGAGGGUGAAACGGUUUGGAGCGAUCUACCUCCAGCUUCUGGUUGAACGAAAAGAAACCAAACUGGAAGAAUACUUGAUGACGAUGGUGACCUGAGGACAGAGACAGGUAGAUGGACAAGUAGACAGAUUUAGUGCAAACCACCGACCACCUGUGGACACAUGACUGAAUGUUUGAAACAAAGUUGUGACAGAACCUCGGUGUAGAUGAUGGCCGUCAUCCAGAAGGUCUUGCUGGGUCGAGGGACGGACAGUGUGGCCCACAAGAAGACCAGAACAGGAAGUACCAAGGUCAGACAGCUGGCCGACACCAUGUGGUUCAGCACGAUGACCAGGUAGCACACGGUUUCCGACCUGAUGCAAGGACUGUGUGAGUAUCUUAGCAGCUUUAGAGGGAUCUGAGGACUCGCCUGCGGACCAGAGCUCACCUGGCCGCCAGGAUAUUGUAGAGAGCGUAGCACAGCUGGAGCAGCUGGGGCUGGUCACUGUAGAAACGGUCUGACGCCUCCAGCUCCUGGUCAUAGAAGGUCCUGGAAGACAAAGGGAAACUCAGCGUGAACCUCCAGCAGGUGGCGGGCGGAGGAUGUCAGCUGGGACUCACCUGCUCCGCAGCAGCUCGCUGGCCGUCAGCUCCUGAGCGCGAGACGCCGCUGGACAGGAAGUGGAGGCCGAGUCGGACAGGAUGUCACUCUGGUGAAAGCGCUUCCCGAAUCCUUCCUCGGCCUCUUCCUCCACCUGCAGCUCCAGGCCCAGAGCGAGGCUGUAGGAGGGGGGGAGGAGGAGGGAGGAGAGGGGGGUAGGGGAGGAGGCGCUGGUCUGAAUCGGCUUUGAUUCUUCAGCUCUGUUAAAACAGAAAGCGAAAUAAUCAGGUGGGAAGCAUCUAGAGGAACAAUUAUCAUCAUCGUAUUCUUCCUCCACACCUCAUCUGCUCGUCACCAUCGUCCUCUGAAGAUGAGGAGGACGAUGAAGCUCCAACUCUCUCCAUCCGGGUCAGUUUGGGUCGCCGUCUUUGACGGAUUCUAUUCACCAGGCCUUCUGGGUCAUCUUCCAAUGAUGCUGCUGUUACUCUGUCUGGUUCAAGUCCUGAACAUGGUUCACCUGAAUCAUCUUUGCCUGAUUGUUGUUCUGGUAGAGGAAGUGGAGCUCCUCCCGAUGGUGGUCUUGAUGGAUUGGGUUUUUGUGGACUACUCUCAUCAGCAUCAGAACUCACCGACUCUUCUUCCUCCCAUCUUCUCUCUGCCGAGGCCUGCCGCUCGGCCUCAUGGGAACUGUCGUUCAGGCCUGACUCUCUGGAGGCUCUCAUCAUCUGCUCUUGGUAGUAGACGUGGAUCGCCUCUCUGGUGGGAACGUUACCCUGAACAAACAAGAAAGAAGCAACGCAUCAACACAACUCCUCCCUCUUUGUAGUUCCAACUCGGCUGCCGUCGCUUUGCACCUGCUUGGCCUGCUGCGUCAGCAUGCAGCGCUCGAUGCGGAGGACGGUGGAGAUGUCGAUGUGCUCCUGACACAGACCGCUGAGCCAGGCAGUCAGAGAGUCCAGCAGAGCGGACAGCAGAACCCAACAGAACCGCAAGGUGCCGGAGAACCGACGCAGCACAGUGUCUGAAACACACGAUUGUAAGAGACAGCUAUGCAUCAUGGGAGCUGUAGUUGUUGAGUCUGAGUGCUUCUGGUACAAUUAUCACAAAGGACUCCAACCAGGUUCCUCCGCUUUCUCCUCCUCCUCUCCUUCUCCAUCCUCCUCAGUGUCCUCUGUCACUUCUAUCCCUAAAGCUGCGGGAGAGGUGGAGCAGUUAGUGUAUCUUCUUCCUCAAUUCCUCUCCCUCCUCUUUUCGUCCUAUUCCUCCUUCCUCCUCCUCACCUUCUCUCUUCUCCUCCUUCCUGCUCUUCCAGAGUUUCUCCUGGUUGUUCCGAGCUCUCAUUGCUGUUCUGGAAUCAGUUAUCCAGGCGUGAUACACAAACUGCGAGCGAGAGACAGACGGACAGACAGCAUCUUCAUCACUCUUCAUCACUUUCACUCUCUUUUGGUCAAACUUUCUCAUUUCUUUGUUGUGUUUCAGAUCUUUGUGAGAGCUCACCUGAAAGGCUGAUUUCUCGGGUAGCUUUUCUUUCUUCUUCUUCUUCUCGUCCUCGUCCUCCUCCUCGUCCUCCUCACUGUCUGUCUCAAACAGGUAGUAAUCACCGCUCCUCACCACUGCGGGCAGACAGACAGGUCAGACCUACAGACGGUAACAGAGUGACUGACAGGUGAGAGAGUGAUUGUGUCAGAGGUCAUGUGACUCACUGGAGGCGUGGUUUACCCAGGGUCUCCACCACUUCUUCUGGCCCCGCCCCUUCCUCUUCUCCUGAUCUACAUAACAGACACUCACGUCAAAUUGUCUGGCGACUGACAGCCAUCACCAUGACAACGAAUGUACACCUCAUGUUGCGUUCACACCAAAAGCAAAGUGAAUUCUCGCCAUGAUUUAAUCGCCCAAUUAGUUUAAUUCAUUCAUUCAUUUGUCUGCAUUUGCGUCUCCUUCAUCCGCUUCAUAGGCGCCGGAAGGGGGCGUGGCUUAUCUCUGCAGCUUGUCUCCGUAAAGACAGUUAUCGUCCACCAUGGCAACAAACACUAUGUCAGUCUGUGCUGUGUGUGUCUCCAGUGACUUUCAUAAAGUGUAUUGAGGCUUUGGCAGCAGUACGGCGGUGAUGACGAGCGGAGCAUCUCAACGCCGAUUGGCUUUCGCUAGACAGCGGCGGGACGAAAAGGCGAUUUAUUGGCUUUGCUUCCUUCGCGUCCUUCACGCUGAACAUUUGCGUACUUCGCAACAACAAACCUUCGGUGCAGAAGCUGCCUUGGGUCAAACUCAACAAUUUCUCUUUUCCUUUGCGGAACUUCUUCUGUCGGGAUUUUAUUCGUUCCAUCCUGAAGCACAUGGGAGACAAGAAGUGGUUCACCGGCGGACAGGUGUGUCCAUCAACAUCUGGUCCCAGGUGAAACUUGUCUCAGUGCUUUGACCCUCUGAACUACUUUGCGUGUCUUACUGCCUCUUCAGAAGGUCCAUGGAGGUCUUCUCCACCUCUAGCCUCGCUCUGACAGCUUUCACUGUGGACGCCUCAAAGAGCUCCGCACCCCUUUAACGCACACACACACACACACACACAUCAACGUGUCACCACAUGUCCGUUCCUUAACAUCUGUUCAGGUGUGUGAUUGUGUACCUGGAGGCCAGCAGUUGUGUAUUUUGUAGGUCAAGGACCACACACAGGAAGUACUGACUCCUGAAGACCCGCCUCUGAAGCAACAGGAAACAGAAGCAAACGCCGUCCCAAAUGAUGCCGGCCUCGUCGCUAGGCAACUCACACUGCUUACUGCUCUGCUGCUCCGCUGCAGGAAGUUAUGAGUGGUAAACACCGGGCAGACAGACAGGCAGACAGACAGACAGACAGACAGACAGGCAGGCAGGCAGGCAGACAAGACAGACAGACAGACAGACAGGUGAAGAGUAAACACCUACGUUUGGUGUACCCUUUGAUGGUGCAGGCCAGACUGAAGAGCUGAAUCAGCCAGCAGUGGUUUGACACCAACGACUUGAUGAAACCACAGGCCAGGAUCUGACCAGACAGACAGACAGGUGGAGACAUUGAGACGGUUUGACUCAGAGAGGGUGAGGAUGAUGAUGAUGAUGAUGAUGCAUCUUACCGACAGGAUGUUCUUCAUAGUGAUGACGAACACGUUGUAGCCAAUUAGGAAAUCCCAGUACACCAAGAUGGAUUUCACUGGUUUCAGCAGCAGAUUUCCGCCAACCAACAGGAAGUAGAAACACGCCACCAGGUAACCCAUACAGAAGAUACUGAUCCUGCAACAGGAAGUAGAAUCACAUCAAGAAGUAACCUAUAAAGAAGAUACCGAUCCUCAAACAGAGAGUAGAAACAUGUCACUAGGUAACCUGUACAAAAGACACCAAAUACUUGAUUGUAUUAACAUUAUUGGUGAAUAUUCACGUUCAAGUUCAGGUUGCAGUGGCUCCGCCCACUCACCUAGUAGUCCCAGUAAUGAAGAUGAUGGUGAGGACAAACCAAAACAUGUAGCUGAAGAUGAUAAGCUUCAUCAUGUCCAGGUAAGACCUGCAUACAAAGAGGGCAAAGGUCAGACGGACAAUGAGACACCAAGAAAUAAGGAGAACGGGGCGGGGGGGCUACCUGCACAGCAUGAAGUCAGGGCCUGUGUUCAGACGGAGUCGCCUGAUUGCAUCUGGAACCUGUUCGUCAUCCUCGUCCAGCUCACAGUUGUCUCCUGCGAGGAUCUGAACCGACGACCGGAGCUCUUCCUCAAACACCUGCAGCUGCAGAGAGGCACCGAGGAGGAGCAAGAAGUCAUCUGAAAGAUUAGGAAAGAGGAGAUAAUGAGGGGGAGCAGGAAAUCAUCUCAGACGGUGGUGAUGAUGAUGAUGAUGAUCCUACAGAGGAGGAAGAUUGGGUUUGGAGGUGUCAGGUGAUCGGGCAGGAAGAGCCACUUCACCACGUUGGAGUCCAUGUUGGAGGACGGAGGUCUCCAUGGAUAAUCUGUGAGUACCAAAAAGAGUUUAAAAUUCACCAUUUAGCUUAGCUUAGCAUGACUUGAAGAACUGAAGCUGUUAUCCUAGCUUAUAAUGUACUACAAAAUGUUUAAAAUCUGAAAAUAAUACAGUAAUAGGAUAUUGUAUUAGUGGUCCAGACACAUCCUCUCUCAGGAUAGCUUAGCAUAAAAAUGUUUUAUAAACUUCAUUAUGAAGUAAUAAUCCCCACACAUUGUUUGUACCUUUGCAGGCGGCCGGAGGGAACCCGAUACACAGAAUGUACUGGAAACAUAGCAGCCCUGAGAGGAAGUAGCAGUACUUGGGCCACACUGAGGCAAUGUGCCUCCUGCGCCGCUUUGAUAGGACACUGAUGAGACCAAAGGCAUGGCCUACAGCGAACAGGUCCAUCCGCUGGCCAAUCACGUUCACAGCCAACAGGAAGCAGGUCUGAGGAAGAGCGUGGGAAUAUUUUUAAACGUGAAGAUGUUAGCUUAUUGCUAACCUCGGGGUGUGUCUCACCUCCAGGCCAAACUUGUAGAAGAAGUAGUUGAGGAAGUACUUCACACAGCUUAGCACGCUGUCGUCCAGGUGGCGCCUGGUGAUGUCAUGAAACAGCGUUUUGGUGGCGGGCGGAACCUCGUUACGUCGGAGUCGGUAGAGCUCCUGGUGUCUGUAAACUGUUACCUCAAAGGCUAACAGCGCUAAUAUCAUCAGGUUAUGCUGCAGAAAGAGAUUAGCAUGCUGUUACGUUAUCAGACCCAACUUCAUCAGGUUAGACUGGUUAGCACGAUGCUAUGUGAUGAGCAUCAUCAUAUAAUGUGGAGACUGGUUAGCUAGAUGCUAGAUCUCACUUCAUCAGCGUAGCCUGAUGCUAGGCUAUCAGAGUUGCUUUGUCACUCCUCACCCUCAGGUAGUCCAGCAGUUUUCCGUCAGUCUUCCGUAGCCCCACCCACUGGGCGGGGUCAACUGCACCGGCGUACAGAACAGAGCGAGACAGGUCGGCGCUGGAGUUACCUGGCUACAGAGAGACAGACAGGUAUGGUACCGCUACAGGAGGCUUUCUGGGGGGGUAACAGACAGACAGGUAUUUGGCCAGUGUGGAUGGAUGUUGUUGACAUGGUUACCAUGGUGCAGUUGGAGGAGUAUCUGAAGGGCUGGACAAUGUUGAGCUGGUACAACAUCUUACAGACAGUCACCACACAGGUCCAAACUGUACAGACUCCUAACAGCAGGGGGCGCCACGCCCUGUAGGGCAGAGCCACGGCCACACACAGCACGAACAGCAGGUUAAACACGCACACCUGCAGAGAGACAGACAGGUUCAACACACACACACCUAUAGGGACAGACAGACAGGUUUUACACGCUCACCCAUAGAGGUCAAACUGAAAGACAGACAGAUCUCACCUCCUUUACACAGACCCAGAUGAUGUAGCAGGAGACGAUCUUAACUAUGUGGAGUUCCAGGAUCCACCACAGAAGGUGCUGCAGGCGCUGCAAGGAGAGGAGGAGGCGCAAGAACAAAACAGAGAGACGGUCCACCACCAACCUCCAGGAGACCAGCACUGAGGACGAGAGAACAGGAGUGAACUUCCUGUAUGGAAGAGUCCCAGGUGUGAUGAUGUCUAUGCAGCUACCUUUGAUAUGCUCAGACAGGGUUUCCCUCUCAAACACACAGGGGUAGUCCUCCUCCUCUUUUAUCCAUUUCUCUUCUGUCUCCUCCUCUUCACACUCCCUCUGUCCUCGGCUCUUCUCCGCCUCCAGGAGGAGUUGAGGGGUUUCACACACCGACAGGUCGAACAGGCUGCCGUCGGAGUGGACCAGCCUGCAGAGAGAGACAGGUGAGAAGAAGUAUAAUAAACUUCAUUCAGGUACGUAGCCCAGAACGGGGAUUCUUCACAGAGGUCUGAGGACCAUCUACAGAGAUCUGAGUACCCUUUGAGAGGGUCUGGGGACUAUCAAAUGUUAUUACGGCUUGUCUCCAGCUGUUCUAUGACCUCUGACCCGCAAGUAGAGCUGUGUGUUACCUGGUGAUGGUGCUGUUGUGCGUGUCCACCACAGUCUUCAGGUCGGUCAGCUGCAGGAAUGGCUUGUGGAAGUAAUGCAGGUGAACGAUGCACACCUGAGGAACAUGGUCAGGAGUCAACUUCCACAUGACAUGUGGCGCACACUGUCUCUGUGGAAAUGUGAGAGUACCAAGAGGAACGCAGCAGGGAUGAAGAUCCUGGUGAAGAGAACGGGAACCGAGAACUUCUCCAAACCAAUGUCCUCCAACCUGGACAGGUAAUAAUGACAGUAAAGACCAUGGAGAGAGAAGAGACAGGAGAGACAUUAGAGACAUUAUAGAUGGAAGAAAUAUUACAGACAUCAGAGAUAUGAGGGAUAUGGACAGAGACAGUACCUGUGGGUACUCAUUCGUGUCUUUUAGUACACGUUUGUGUCUUUGAGUACCUGUGUGUACUCGUUUGUGUCCUUGAGUACCUGUGAGUACUUAAUCCGGUGUAGUAGCUCCAGGUGUGGAGGGACGAAGGGAACUGGAAGGUGUAGACCAGGAUGAGAACCAACAUGGAGUAAACCACCACGGCUACCCAGAAACCCCUGAGCAUGGCACGCCAACGCUCAUAGUUCAACUACAGAGAGAAAGACAGGUAGAGAGACAGAUUCAAAGUAUGUAAAGGCACAGCUUGAUAGAGUCCUGAGUAUCUAAACUCUAAAUCCCAGUUCUUAGGUUUUUAAGGAGUGGUAUCAGCGAGACAUACAGCUGCAGUACUUGUAGUACUUGCAGUACUUGCAGUAUUACCUGGUAGAGGGCGGCGCAGUAGAGGAACAUAACCAUGUAGAUGACUUUGUAGAGGACGAUUUUUCCCUCAAAACUAACAAAGAAGAACAUUGUUCCGCAGACAUAGAUCCAGUAUUUGACAAACAUCCUGGUAACCACGGCAACAAGGGCCUCCAUCUUGACCGCUCCUUCUCCUCCUGUGUGCAGGAGCAGCACCUCCUCGUACGACACCUCCUCCUUCUCCUGCACGUCCUCAUCGGCACUCGGCUGCUCCUCUAACGGACGUAAAACAAGAGGGAGACGGACCAGGUAAUGAGACAUGUGUGCAGUGAGACAGACCAGGUAAUGAGACAUGUGUGCAGUGAGACAGACCAGGUAAUGAGACAUGUGUGCAGUGAGACAGACCAGGUAAUGAGACAUGUGCGCAGUGAGACGGACCAGGUAAUGAGACAUGUGCGCAGUGAGACAGACCAGGUAAUGAGACAUGUGUGCAGUGAGACAGACCAGGUAAUGAGACAUGUGCGCAGUGAGACAGACCAGGUAAUGAGACAUGUUUGUAGUGAGACAGAUGUCUUACCCAACGUGUGGACGGUGAUGUGAGACAGCUGUCUGUCUCUCUGUCUGUCUCUCUUCUCAGUUAGCGCCUGACGCAGCAGCAACCAGAAGGUCAAGAGACACAACAACUGCAACGACAACAACAGUAGUAUCAGUACAAGUAGUAGUUGUAGUACAUGUAGUAGUAGUAGUAGUAGUAGUACCUUGGAGGCCAGCUCACUGCAGGGAUCUUCUUUCCUCGGGAACAGUCCCGGGACUUCUCGGAUGGGGGGGAAGCUGUAGACAUACUGCAGGAGGACCAGCAGGUUGCCGUAGGCGACCAGCCAGGGCGAUGACAUCAGCGUGUACCGGCGACGCUCUCGCAUCAUCCAGAGGACGCACGACCACAGCAGCAGCACACACGUCAGCCAGGACACGUAUGUGAUUGGCCACGCCAUCAUGGCAAUCAGAGCACAGAUGUAACUCUGCUUGAGGAGGAAAGUGAACGCCCUAGACGCAGCACUGACUCCCUCUUCCUCCCUUCUCCUCUCCUCCUCCUCCUCUUCUCUCAUCGUUGUCCUCCUCCUCUCCUCUUCAUCCUCUCCCUGCUCCUCCUCCGCACGCGUCUCCAACGUGUCUACAGCAUCAAACACAGAUAAGAACCGCCAUCAUGAAGGUCACUGUCUGUCCUAUGACACCAUCAUGUCCCCAAUGGUACCUGUCUGUCCUGUGGGAUACCUGUCUACCUCUCUACAGUAUCCUUCAACCCAUAAACUCACCUGAUUGGCUGAGAGAGUAGUGAGACGCGGCGUAAGCAUCCAAUUCAAAUACUUUGCUCUGGGUAGACGGGGCAAACGCGUCAGAGGGACUGUCAUCGGUGGAUGAUACCUAGAGACGGACCAAGAGACAGAAUGGGGACUUUAAACAACAAAAUUGAAUUCUGUGUAUUCAUGAAAUGAUCACAAUAAUGAAUGAAAGCGUAAUAUGUAUUUUUUUGUUUCCGUACGCCUCGGCACUCGGGACGAUCGUGAGCUCUCCUCCACGACUCUCUCCGUCCCUCCGCUGUGAUGUCACUGCCGACCUCAUCGCUCAAGUUGCUGGUGGCAGUUAUGAUGUCACAGCUCCCGCUGAUGGCUGACUCCUCCCUCUCUAUGCCCCACCACCCAACGCCAUCGAUCAGCUGCAGAAACAUGUGACACACUUCAGCCAAUUAGAGCGUCUUUCCUUCUCACCGUCCCUUCCCGUCCCUUCCUGACUGGCAGGACCAUACAGAUGUUUAUCUCUGCCAACUCCAUUUGGAAAGUGAUAUAUAUAUAUAUAGUUUUAAACUUGUUUUAAACAUGUUUACUGCCAUUUCAUUGCUUCUUCUGCUCCUUUACGCAUUAUCUUUGACAUGUUUGAAAUAGAUCUGAUAUAUAAAAUGACAUCAUACUGUAACAUUAUGACUGUAUGACAUCAUAAGCAGAAGUUCUAACAUGCUGUAUGAUGUCAUCCUGUGUUGCGUGACAUCACCUGGUUCCUCCACAGAGUGGCCACAGUGUGGUAGAGCAGCAUCAGCAUCAAAGGACUGGUGAAGUGAAACCAGCUUAGCUCAGAGUUCACCUGCAUCCUCCAGGGGGCAGAACAGUUCACGGAGACCAGGGGCAGCAAGCCAAACAGACUGCAGUGGAGACAUGCACCAUCAGUAGACCAUAAACCAAUCAAUCGAUCGACACAUUAAUGAAUCGACCCGUCAAUGAAAUAAGACUGAGAUCUACUGUUGAUUUACAGGAACAUGUUGUUGUGAAGAAAGUCUGUGUUUGUCUCAACCUGUAAUUAAGUCACUUGUCUGACUCCACAGGGUG